rnacentral:lncRNA from 10 species
AAUAAAUAAAUACAUACAUACAUACAUAAAUACAUAAAUAACUUGCGGUAUUAUUACCUACAGAGGUUAAAAAAUAUAUAAGAACCAUAAAACAACCCUAAUGAACAAUAACUGGAAAACAGCAUGGCAAACAUAGUAAAUCUGUGGAAUAAAAAAGUAAACAGCCAUUUAAAUUAAUUACAAAAAAUAUUUAUGAUAGACGUUAAGUUAAAAAAGGAAAUAUAAACAAGCUACUAUUUUUAAUCCAUUAAAUUAGCAAAGUAUUUAGAAAAUAAUAUUCAAUGUGGUGAAAGGAUAGUAAAAUAAGAACUAUUACUAAGGCUAGAAUAAACUUUUGGAAGUCACUAUCAAUGGCUAUCAAGAAUGAUAAAAUACUAAUAAACUAUUACACAUUUAAUAAAAAUAAUUUAAAAUGAAAUAAUUGCUGGGCAUGGAAGCUCAGGCCUGUAAUCCCAGCACUUUGGGACUUGAAAUGCCAACAGUGGUUAUAGUAUUACAAGUUAACCUUUUCAUUUAUUUUCGAUAAUAAAUAAUAAUAGAGGAUUACUUCAAUUCUGGAGAAAAUGAACAUAAAUAAUUACUCUGAAUGAAUAAAAAUCAGUCAUCCUGUCUAAAAUAACUGCCCUCCCUGAAGUUGCUUGGGAAAUUUAUCCACCUCUAUUCUCAUUCUCCCACUCUCUCUUUCACACACACACACACACACACACACACACACACACACACACACACACACACAGAGAGAGAGAGAGAGAGAGAGAGAGAGAGAGAGAUGCACAUGGAUGCCUGCAGAUGCCUGAAACUCA